AGAAGGAGCAGCAACUGCACCUGGAGAUUGCUUCCUUUAGAGCGUGGGGUGAACCCUUGAAACUGGGACUGUGACCUUUCCUGUUUUUGGGGCAUCCUGACCACAUUGAAAUGCUGGCAGAUGUAAGGGCAGCAUUGAUCUCUGGAGACUGUCUCCUGUGGAGCAGGGGGCUGUUAUGCACUGCUUCCAACCAUGCAGAGUUGUUUAAGGGCGUUCUGUGCACCCUUAGGUGUAAUAAAUCUUCGUCUUUAUAGAAAGCCAAGGAUUGUCCUCUUCUGGACUGCUGUACUCAGUAUCACCCCAGUGUGAUGAAGUGAAGCCCCUGCUCUGCUGAAUACUGGGACUGGCCCAGAGAGGCUCUGAUGGAUAUGGAUUAUCCUAGCCAGAGUACUUGGUACCAUUGGUGGUGAUCUCGUCCAACUGCCACACAAUGAACAGGAACAGCCACAGCCAGAUCUGGCUGCCCAGAGGCUGACCCAGCCUCACCUUGGAAGGGACGGGGCAUCCAUCACAUGUCUGGGUAACCUGUUCUGCUGUGUCACCACC